CAGUAAGUUGGCAGAAUAGUGCCAUCGACUUAGAAUCGAUUUAUGGGGCCUCCCCACUUAUUAU
rnacentral:tRNA from 1 species